CACACGCCAUCUUCCGGGUGGGUGUCUGAAUACUUCCAAUUCAGGACUGUUGAGCCUGACACUUCCUCUGCAUUCGUUUGGCUCAAAGCUCCUGUCCACCUCCAUCUACUGCAUCUGAAACUUUGAGAAGGAAACUUCAAAAUGUCAUUGGAGCUGGAACAGCACUUUUGCCGGUGGGGGACCCUGCUGUGACUCACUGCUGGGCUCAGAGCCACUGAAAACAUUUCUCCUGGUAAGGGGGCCACUGCGGCCAGCAGAGCUUUACAGGCCCAAGGCUCUGCCUGAGCUACCUUCAGAAGAGAGGAGGCACUGUGCAGUGCUUCCAGAAGGCCUCCCACGGUUCCCAGGGGAGCGGGGACCCAUGGAUGUGCUGAGGAGAGAGAUCCAGACUGUGGGUGACACAUGCAAGUGCCCAGUUGCCACGCACGCUGGACUCUUCCGAGUUCCAGGAGCCUGCAAACUUCCUGAGCCUGACUGUGUGGGCCUGACACUUCCAGAGUGUUCUUCCAGCCAAAGUCUAAGGUGCUGGUGAGGAAAAAGCAGAGUAAGACUGUGAUGAUGCUGGAGAGUGUGUACUUUCCAGUAUGGGGACUGUCGUGGGUUGACCUGUGCCAUCCAAAAGACAUGUUACAGUCUCAGCCCCAUUAUUUCGGAAUGUGACUUUAUUUGAAAAUAGGGUCUUCGCAGAUGAGAUUUGUUAAAAUAAGGUAACACUGGAUUAGGGUGGGCCCUAAAUCAAUGGCUGGUGUUCUUAUAAGAAGGCCAUGUGACAAUGGAAGUGGAGAUUGGCGAGAUCCAGAAGCGAGGAGACGCAUGGAAUGGAUUCUCCCUGGAGCCUUCAGAGGAAACAUCGCUCUGCAGACACUGUCAUUUUGGACUUGGCCUCCAGAACUGAGAGAAUACAUUUCUUUUGUUUAAAGCCACCCAGGUUAUGAACACUAAUGUAGGGGGUGAAUUGGAGGGCUUGGCCCACCCGGAGGCACUAGAUUCCGUUCCUAGGGGCUGGAACGAUGUCCUCAAAAGAGGAAGGAAGGGUUAGGACAGGAUUUUCAACCCAGAAGUCCAAGUAGAAGGAGACAUAUUCGAAGCUUGGCCCUUAAGUCUGUGCUCUUGGCUGUCUCAAUGGUCUGUCCCGGGGGCCUCCCCAGAUUGGUCAGACUCUGGGGCCUGUGUGGACCUGACAGUGCAUAUCCUCUGUGUGAGGACUGGUCUGGCUGAGAAGUUUCUGUGUGUUAAGGGAUCAAUACUGAGACUGGACUUUCGCUGCCUACUCCGACCCGCAGCUCCCUGAGCCUGAUGACAUGACCCCUUCCACGCAGAUUCAUCUCAAACUUGUUUGAUGCCUCUCCAAAGAGCUCCAUCUGGUUCCCUCCCUAUUCCUGACAGGUGGCUAACACAGCUCUCUGAAGCCCCCCAAACACCAGGAAGCAUCUUCUGCAGAACUGACUUGGCUUUUAUGUCACAUUGCUGUCUCCCCAUCGUGUAUUUGCUACAACCACAGACAUUUGUAUGGAAAUGGAAUCCGUGUUUGUAAGGGUUCAUCUGCUCAGGCUGCCUUGUGAGCAGGCACUGGGGGACAAUCUGCCCGGCCAGCACCCACCCACGUGGCUCCUCGGCUCCUCUGGCAGGACUUCUCCAACCUCUGAGAGUGGGGGAUGCCAUUGGGCUGGGAUUUAUGGCCCGUGUGAGCCUUCCUGGGCCACAGGAGCAUCUGCUUCAACACUGCAACAUCUCUCCAUCUCGAAGCAUAUGUCUCUAAGCAUAUAAGGCUGUCACUUGCUGGGCUGUGGGCCGUGCUGUGGAGCGCUUGGCCAGAGGGUGGGGCCGUGCUGCACCAGGAACAGCAGUGGAGAGGCCUGGGGCCACGGACUGUAACAGAGGCACAGAGGAGCCACGUGUGGCACAUCAAGAGAGGGGUUAGGCACGAGUGCACCUUUUCCCAUCCAGAUACACCCCACAUGAGCAUGGACUCAGCGUUUACAGAGCACUUUCACCUCCCUUUGGAGUUUUUCUUCAGGACAGGAGUUACCGAGUGAAUGCCUGCGUCCUCACCAGAUUCAUCUGUUAGAGGUUAACCAUCAAUGCCAAGGCAUUAGGAGGUGGAGCCUGUGGGAGGUGAUGAGGGUUGAGGGGAGGGCAUGUGAGUGGGGCCCUCCCGAUGGGAUUAGCGCCCCUUGUAAGAAGAGAAAGAGACACCAGAGCUUCCUGUCUCCGCCAUGUGAGGACCCAGCAAAAAGGCAGCAGGCUGCAAACCAGGAAGAGGGCCUCCUCAGAACCUGGCCAUGCUGGCAGCCUCCUCGGAGGCCCUGCCUUCACAGCUGGGAGAAACACGUGUCUGUUGUUUAAGCCCCCCAGGCUGUGGUGUUUUUUUACAGCAGCCUGAGCUGACUAAGACAAUGGGAGACUUCAGCUUGCAGGAAGAGGAGGUUCAUUGGCUCCAGGUCACACAGUCUGGUCCUGCAGCUCCAAAUUCCAAGCCCCUCGCUCAGGACCAGUGGGUCAGGGUCAGAGAAUUCCAAGGAAGGCCAGGCUGGGGAGGGUCCCCGAGGGUGGGGAUGGGGACAGCCCACCCUGGAGAUGGGGUCCCACUCUGCCACAUGGUCCAGAGCAGGCCCUGCCUUGGGGACCCUCCCCUCCAUCACUCUCAGGCUGUAUGUUCGGGUCCCCCCACCUACACCACCCCCACCUUCGGGAGUGCAUUAGACCUAGGCCUGGCCAAGCCAGUAAAUGCCUGUUGAGCACCUUCUACAUGGCAGGUGCUGUUCAGGUGCCUGGGAAGUAGCAGCGAAUAAAAUAGGCAAAAGUCCCAUGCUGUGGACUUUACAUGUUGGUGGAGGAAGACAGACAAUAAAAGUCAAAUAGCCACUGCAUUAGAAAGUUAGAAUGGUUGGGAGAACAAUACAGUGAGGAGGGGACAGGGUGUAUGUGGGUGGAAUGGAAGUGGGGAGGACUGAGGAGGUGGCACCUGAGGAAGGGCUUGAAGGAGGGGAGAGAGGAACUCGGCAGAGGGAACGGAGAGGGCAGAGUCCCUGAGGCAGGAGCACUGGCGGGUGGGUUUGAAGAGCAGCAAGAAGCUGCUGUGACCAGAGCAGAGAGGAGAGGGUUUGGAGGUGGGGGCUGAGGUAGGGCCUUUGGCUGGUGCUCAGAGGGUGAUGGGAGGUCACUGAGGGGUAUGGGGCAGAGAAAUGCCACCGUCUCACCCACAUUUUGACAAGAGCACUCUGUGUUGUGAUGAACAGCUGGUGGGGAGGGGGCCCUGCUGAAGGCUGGCACAGCAGAAUCCAGGUGAGAAACGGUAGAGGGGGCAGAAGGAGUCCGACUCAGUAUGUAUUUUGAAAUGUUUGCUGACCACUUGAAGAUGGAGUGACAGAGAGGGAGGCAGUGAGGAUGCUUUCAGCAUCAGCAAAUGGGAAGAUGGAUUUCCAUUGACCGAGAGGCAGAUGAAUGUACGAAGAACAGCCUUGCAGCUAAAGACAGGAUUUCCCACUUGGAAACGUGAGGUUUGUCAUAUCCCUUAGAAAUGCAAGCGAGGCUGUCAAGUGAGCCUUCAGCUCAGGGUGGGUUGGGGCUGGCGAUACAAAAUUGGGCACUUGAAGUCAGGAAACUGCACAGUGUUACAGGCUGGUGAUUGCUGGUGCAACGCAGAAGAAGCCUGAAGCUUGCAUCCUUAGACAUCCAGUGAUAAGCAGUGGCACAGGCCAGGUGGAAUCCACAAAGAUUCUGGAAAGAAGCCGCCAGGGAGGUGGGAGGAAAGCCAGGAGGGUUUUCAUGCUGGCGGCUGAACCUCGUGGCUUCUUGUCACCCCGGCCACUGUGCUGCCCAUGGUGCAGGCACAGGACCCGUGUUGGUCUGAUCAGAGCACAGCCAGGGUACUUACUGGAGUCACAGAGCACAGGAAGCAAGCUAUUUUCUGUCUUACCGUGCUUAGCUGGGAAGAGGAAUGAGUCGGGAGCUGUUGGUAACCAUUUUCCCAGUCCAAGUAAGCAACUGGCACCAGAUCAGAAUUGCCAGAUGCAAGACGCACAGGGAGGCAGAGUCCCAGGCCAUUUCAGCUCCACAUUCAACCAUGCCCCAAGCUCCUGGCUUUUAGUUUCAUCAGCCAAUAAUUUCCUAAUUUUGCUCAAAUCGGCUUAAGCUGGGUGUCUGUCAUUUGCAACUCAAACAAUUCUGACCAAAGCAUCAAUGCACCCAACACCCACACGGAGAGAACCUCCCCCACCGUCAUUUUGAGGCUGUGCCCUCCAGUUGAACACCUGUUCUCUGUGGCACUGACUCCUCUUUCCAUAGGGACAUCUUACAACAGUUGCCGUUAUCUGAGGUUGUGCAAAGAGGGAUGGAGGAGAAAACAGUGGAGAAUCACUGAUGGAGUCUCCCUCUGUUGCCCAAGCUGGAAUGGAGUGGCAUGAUCUCGGCUCAC